rnacentral:rRNA from 1 species
UUACCGAGUGACCUAGGCUCUCCACUGAUUGUGAACUUACCUGAUGUUCCCUCGGAGGGCUCCGCGCGCGGUGGCCUCCGACCCUCCGCCCGUCCGCCGGGGAACUCUGUUUCUGAUUUAAUCUCAUUUCUCUGAGGGGCGAAAGCCCGAAAACAAAAUGAAUCAAAACUUUGAAUCUGGGAUCUCUUGGCUCUGGCAUCGAUGAAGAACGCAAAUGAAUGCUGUAAAAAAUGUGAAUUGCACAAUUCAUUGAAUCAUCAUUGCUUUGAACGCAAAUUGGGCCCGCCUGCAUGCCGGAGGGCAUGUCUGUCCGAGCGUCAUUUCAAGCCUCAGGCCCACCCUUCCGGAGGAGCGCCCCUGGUUCUGUGGAUCGGCGGCCCUCCUUCCCCCCGUCCCUCAAAUUCACAUGGCGUACUGGCCGCAGCCUCCCCUGCGUAGUAACACAACCUCUUACCAGAGAGCACAUCGACCACGGCAUAAAUCACCGCUGAUUUUAAGGUUGACCUCAGAAUCAGAGUAAGAAUACCCGCUGAACUUAAGCAUAUCAAUAAGCCGGAGGAA